UACGAAGGGGGCUAGCGUUGCUCGGAAUCACUGGGCGUAAAGCGCACGUAGGCGGCUUUCUAAGUCAGGGGUGAAAUCCUGGAGCUCAACUCCAGAACUGCCUUUGAUACUGGAGAGCUCGAGUCCGGAAGAGGUGAGUGGAACUGCGAGUGUAGAGGUGAAAUUCGUAGAUAUUCGCAAGAACACCAGUGGCGAAGGCGGCUCACUGGUCCGGUACUGACGCUGAGGUGCGAAAGCGUGGGGAGCAAACAGGGAUUAAGAAAC
rnacentral:rRNA from 1 species